GACGAACGCUGGCGGCGUGCUUAACACAUGCCAGUCGAACGGAAAGGCCCUGCAUUUGUGGGGUGCUCGAGUGGCGAACGGGUGAGUAACACGUGAGUAACCUGCCCUUGACUUUGGGAUAACUUCAGGAAACUGGGGCUAAUACCGGAUAGGAGCUCCUGCUGCAUGGUGGGGGUUGGAAAGUUUCGGCGGUUGGGGAUGGACUCGCGGCUUAUCAGCUUGUUGGUGGGGUAGUGGCUUACCAAGGCUUUGACGGGUAGCCGGCCUGAGAGGGUGACCGGCCACAUUGGGACUGAGAUACGGCCCAGACUCCUACGGGAGGCAGCAGUGGGGAAUAUUGCACAAUGGGCGGAAGCCUGAUGCAGCAACGCCGCGUGCGGGAUGACGGCCUUCGGGUUGUAAACCGCUUUCGCCUGUGACGAAGCGUGAGUGACGGUAAUGGGUAAAGAAGCACCGGCUAACUACGUG
rnacentral:rRNA from 1 species